rnacentral:sRNA from 1 species
UGCAUGAUGAGUCCCAAGGAGAGGAAAGCAGAAAGUGACCUCAAACCAUAGCCUCUCCCCACUCCUAGGUCCUGUACAUCCAGGCCUUUGUCCUUGUCUUCCUUCUGGGCAAGGUGAUGGGCAAGGUGUUCUUUGGGCAACUGAGGGCAGCAGAGAUGGAGGUAAGAUGUCGGCUGCCCCAAAGGUGAGGGCAGGGUGCUGGGAAAGAAUGUUUGGUAUCCACAUUAUUCCCUGCCUGGCCCCCAGCACCUUCUGGAACGUUCCUGGUACGCCGUCACAGAGACUUGUCUGGCCUUCACCGUUUUUCGGGAUGACUUCAGCCCCCGCUUUGUUGCACUCUUCACUCUUCUUCUCUUCCUCAAAUGUUUCCACUGGCUGGCUGAGGACCGUGUGGACUUUAUGGAACGCAGCCCCAACAUCUCCUGGCUCUUUCACUGCCGCAUUGUCUGUGAGUGAGAUUCAGGGGAGGGGAAGGGAGGACUGGA